rnacentral:snRNA from 1 species
GAUUCUCUGUGUAAGCGAAA